CAAAUGCGAUACGCAAUGCGAAUUGCAGAAUUCCGCGAGUCAUCAGAUCUUUGAACGCAAGUGGCGCUGGGUUAACCAAUACCCCAGCAUGUUUGUUUCAGUGUGUUAGGAAUCAUAAAUCAUAAUGCGGUUGAGGAAGUUGAAUAAACUUCUUCUCCCGUUAAACAUGAAAGCGCUGAAAUUCGUUUCAGUUGCCAACCGAAGUAGUCACUUCUUUCUAGAAAGUGAUCUCGGUUUGUGCUAUAACUGAAGAUUUCACUUAAAGCGUCUUUAUCAUAAAAUCAAUUAUUUCUCCAUUCAACACCUGAAAUCAAGCAAGAUCACCCGCUGAACUUAA
rnacentral:misc_RNA from 1 species